rnacentral:rRNA from 1 species
CUAAGCGUGAAGCCUCCUUCAAGAUUAGAUCUCUCUGAUGAAAAUCAGUAAGGAACGUUGGAGACUACGACGUUGAUAGGCUGGGUGUGGAAGUACAGCAAUGUAUGAAGCUUACCAGUACUAAUGAUCCGAGAGACUUAAGUCUAU